rnacentral:rRNA from 1 species
UACGAAGGGGGCUAGCGUUGCUCGGAAUCACUGGGCGUAAAGCGCACGUAGGCGGAUCUUUAAGUCAGGGGUGAAAUCCCAAGGCUCAACCUUGGAACUGCCUUUGAUACUGGGGAUCUCGAGUCCGGAAGAGGUUGGUGGAACUCCGAGUGUAGAGGUGAAAUUCGUAGAUAUUCGGAAGAACACCAGUGGCGAAGGCGGCCAACUGGUCCGGCACUGACGCUGAGGUGCGAAAGCGUGGGGAGCAAACAGG